rnacentral:lncRNA from 1 species
CUUCACCUGAACCUAAAAUGGUGAGCGAGAGUCACCAUGAGGCCCUGGCAGCCCCGCCUGUCACCACUGUCGCGACUGUUCUGCCAAGCAACGCCACAGAGCCAGCCAGUCCUGGAGAAGGAAAGGAAGAUGCAUUUUCUAAGCUGAAGGAGAAGUUUAUGAAUGAGUUGCAUAAAAUUCCAUUGCCACCGUGGGCCUUAAUUGCAAUAGCCAUAGUCGCAGUCCUUUUAGUCCUGACCUGCUGCUUUUGUAUCUGUAAGAAAUGUUUGUUCAAAAAGAAAAACAAGAAGAAGGGAAAGGAAAAAGGAGGGAAGAAUGCCAUUAACAUGAAAGAUGUAAAAGACUUAGGGAAGACGAUGAAAGAUCAGGCCCUCAAGGAUGAU